rnacentral:rRNA from 1 species
AGGCAGCAGUGAGGAAUAUUGCACAAUGGGCGAAAGCCUGAUGCAGCAACGCCGCGUGAGGAGACGAAGGCCUUCGGGUCGUAAACCUCUUUUCUGGGGAAAGAGCAAGGACGGUACCUCAGGAAUAAGUCUCGGCUAACUACGUGCCAGCAGCCGCGGUAAAACGUAGGAGGCGAGCGUUAUCCGGAUUUACUGGGCGUAAAGCGCACGCAGGCGGCUUCGUUAGUCGGAUGUGAAAGCUCCUGGCUUAACUAGGAGAGGCCAUUCGAUACUGCGAGGCUUGAGGCAGGGAGAGGGGUGCGGAAUUCCCGGUGUAGUGGUGGAAUGCGUAGAUAUCGGGAGGAACACCUGUGGCGAAAGCGGCACCCUGGCCCUCGCCUGACGCUGAGGUUNUAAAGGGUGGGGAGUAAACAGGAUUAGAUACCCUGGUAAU